GAAAAUGUUUGGAGUCUUCCGGAGCCUUGGCGUCAAGUUUAUACAUAUGCGAUGGACUUCUGUGAGCUUCUCUUGUGCUAUGAGGGCUGUUUCAAGAAGAGUGAGGAAUGAGCAGUGGCCUCCCCAAACAGAGCUCCAUCUGCCUGUCAUGAGGAUGUUGCUGUCAGGUAAAUGGCUCCUCUGAUUCUGUAGAGAACUCCAGAGAUAUAUUUCAGCACUGGAACACUCAAGGUUCCAAGUUUAUCCAUAAUAGGAGAGAAGUAAGUCUGGUAUGCCAAGAUAGGAGGAAGAAAGAAGAAUUGGUUCUCAGGAAGUGACUGGCACAAUCAUUAUACACAAUUUAAGAUACGAACUCAUGGAUACAAAACAAUCCUCUCCUACAAAG
rnacentral:lncRNA from 1 species